rnacentral:rRNA from 1 species
AUGAACGCUGGCGGCGUGCCUAAUACAUGCAAGUCGCGCGCACGGACGAGAAGCUUGCUUCUCUGAUGUUAGCGGCGGACGGGUGAGUAACACGUGGAUAACCUACCUAUAAGACUGGGAUAACUUCGGGAAACCGGAGCUAAUACCGGAUAAUAUUUUGAACCGCAUGGUUCAAAAGUGAAAGACGGUCUUGCUGUCACUUAUAGAUGGAUCCGCGCUGCAUUAGCUAGUUGGUAAGGUAACGGCUUACCAAGGCAACGAUGCAUAGCCGACCUGAGAGGGUGAUCGGCCACACUGGAACUGAGACACGGUCCAGACUCCUACGGGGGGCAGCAGUAGGGAAUCUUCCGCAAUGGGCGAAAGCCUGACGGAGCAACGCCGCGUGAGUGAUGAAGGUCUUCGGAUCGUAAAACUCUGUUAUUAGGGAAGAACAUAUGUGUAAGUAACUGUGCACAUCUUGACGGUACCUAAUCAGAAAGCCACGGCUAACUACGUG